ACGUAGGGGGCAAGCGUUAUCCGGAUUUACUGGGUGUAAAGGGAGCGUAGACGGACUGGCAAGUCUGAUGUGAAAGGCGGGGGCUCAACCCCUGGGCUGCAUUGGAAACUGUUAGUCUUGAGUGCCGGAGAGGUAAGCGGAAUUCCUAGUGUAGCGGUGAAAUGCGUAGAUAUUAGGAGGAACACCAGUGGCGAAGGCGGCUUACUGGACGGUAACUGACGUUGAGGCUCGAAAGCGUGGGGAGCAAACAG
rnacentral:rRNA from 1 species